UACGAAGGGUGCAAGCGUUACUCGGAAUUACUGGGCGUAAAGCGUGCGUAGGCGGUUCGUUAAGUCCGUUGUGAAAGCCCUGGGCUCAACCUGGGAAUGGCAGUGGAUACUGGCGAGCUAGAGUGUGAUAGAGGAUGGUGGAAUUCCCGGUGUAGCGGUGAAAUGCGCAGAUAUCAGGAGGAACACCGGUGGCGAAGGCGGGUCUCUGGGCCGUAACUGACGCUGAGGAACGAAGGCCAGGGGAGCGAAAGGG
rnacentral:rRNA from 1 species